AUACGGAGGGUGCAAGCGUUAAUCGGAAUUACUGGGCGUAAAGCGUACGUAGGCGGCUAUUUAAGUUAGAUGUGAAAGCCCCGGGCUUAACCUGGGAACUGCAUUUAAAACUGGCGAACUAGAGUUGAGUAGAGGGGAGUGGAAUUUCAGGUGUAGCGGUGAAAUGCGUAGAGAUCUGAAGGAACACCAGUGGCGAAGGCGACUCCCUGGACUCGAACUGACGCUGAGGUACGAAAGCGUGGGUAGCAAACGGGAUUAGAAACCCUAGUAGUCC
rnacentral:rRNA from 1 species